GGAGGACGACGGGCGAUCGCUUCGCAGCGUCACGCAGCGGAGAGGAAAGUCCGGACUCCCACGGGCAGCAUGCUCGCUAACGGCGAGGCGCGGCGACGCGACGGAAAGUGCAACAGAAAGCAAACCGCCCGGUAUUUCCGGGUAAGGGUGAAAGGGUGCGGUAAGAGCGCACCGCUUCGUCGGCGACGACGAAGGCACGGUAAACCCCAUGUGGAGCAAGACCAAAUAGGGGAGCGGUUGUCGGGCUGCCCGUCCCGCUCGGUCUUCGGACCGUCCGACUCCCGGGUAGGUUGCUAGAGGUCCGCGGCAACGCGGAUCCCAGAGGAAUGAUCGUCACCCGGCGGCUUUCAGCCAACGGGUACAGAAUCCGGCUUACGGCGUCCUCCGGCC
rnacentral:RNase_P_RNA from 1 species